rnacentral:rRNA from 1 species
CCAAGCAGUUUAAUUCUGACUAAUUAAUUAAACAAAAAUGAAUCUCACAGAAAAACUCCUAAAUAAACAAACAUAAUAAAUUAUUUCUAAUGAUUAGUAUUAAAAAGCAGCUAAACUGACCCUUGCAUUAAAUCUGACCCAACAAGUGCCAGCAAUCGCGGUUAAACCUGGAGAAGAAAAUUAACUUACCAACUCAGAAUUAUAACCAACAACCUUAUCUCAUAAUAUUGGUAAAAUAAACACUAUGAAAUAACUACCAAAAUAAUUCAAAAACUUGGAUAAUAAAAAAGGAUUAGAUACCCUUGUAUUCCGAAAAUAAAAAAGAGCAAGGUAGUAAAAGAUUCAACUCUUAAAACCUUAAGAAUUUGGCAGCAUUAUUGUAACUUCCGAGAAACUUGUUACAUAAUCGUCAACACACGAUCUACCUUACCUUAUCUAUGCUUGUGUACAACCGGUCAAUUGGCCAACCCUAGUUCCCAAUGCCAAGAACUCACAACCCUCCCAACCCCAGGUCAAUGUGCAGCUUUUUAAGGAGAUAAUGAGUUACAUUAUUAAAAAAUGCAGAUAAUUACUUAAAAAUAAUUGAAGAUGAAUCGGAUAGUAAAUGUUAAUUUAGAAUUUAACUCUGAAAAUCAACACUAUGUGCACAAAUCGCCCGUCAUUCUCAUCAAAACUGAGACAAGUCGUAACAAAGUAGGCCUACCUGAAGGUGGUCCUAAAAUAUC